rnacentral:rRNA from 1 species
CCUACGGGAGGCAGCAGUGGGGAAUAUUGGGCAAUGGACGCAAGUCUGACCCAGCAACGCCGCGUGAAGGAAGAAGGCUUUCGGGUUGUAAACUUCUUUUAAGGGGGAAGAGCAGAAGACUGUACCCCUUCAAUAAGCCACUGCUCACUACGUUCCCGCAGCCGCGGUAAUACGUAGGUGGCACGCGUUGUCCGGAUUUACUGGGUGUAAAGGGCGUGCAGCCGGGAAGACAAGUCAGAUGUGAAAUCCCGGGGCUCCACCGCGGAACUGCAUUUGAAACUGUUUUUCUUGAGUAUCGGAGAGGUAAGCGGAAUUCCUAGUGUAGCGGUGAAAUGCGUAGAUAUUAGGAAGAACACCAGUGGCGAAGGCGGAUUACUGGACGACAACUGACGGUGAGGCGCGAAAGCGUGGGGAGCAAACAGGAUUAGAUACCCCUGUAGUC